rnacentral:rRNA from 1 species
UACGGAAGGCAGCAGUGGGGAAUAUUGCACAAUGGGCGAAAGCCUGAUGCAGCUAUGCCGCGUGUAUGAAGAAGGCCUUAGGGUUGUAAAGUACUUUCAUCGGGGAGGAAAAACAAAACUAAUAAUUUUAUUUCUUGACGUUACCCGAAAAAGAAGCACCGGCUAACUCCGUGCCAGCAGCCGCGGUAAUACGGAGGGUGCUAGCGUUAAUCAGAAUUACUGGGCGUAAAGAGCACGUAGGUGGUUUUUUUAAGUCAGAUGUGAAAUCCCUGGGCUUAACUUAGGAACUGCAUUUUGAAACUGAAAUACUAGAGUAUCGUAGAGGGAGGUAGAAUUCUAGGUGUAGCGGUGAAAUGCGUAGAUAUCUGGAGGAAUACCUGUGGCGAAAGCGGCCUCCUAAACGAAUACUGACACUGAGGUGCGAAAGCGUGGGGAGCAAACAGGGAUUAGAUACC